rnacentral:rRNA from 1 species
GAUCAUGGCUCAGAUUGAACGCUGGCGGCAGGCUUAACACAUGCAAGUCGAACGGUAACAUAAAGAAGCUUGCUUCUUUGAUGACGAGUGGCGGACGGGUGAGUAAUGCUUGGGAAUCUAGCUUAUGGAGGGGGAUAACUACGGGAAACUGUAGCUAAUACCGCGUAGAAUCGAGAGAUGAAAGUGUGGGACCUUCGGGCCACACGCCAUAGGAUGAGCCCAAGUGGGAUUAGGUAGUUGGUG